rnacentral:rRNA from 1 species
GUGCCAGCAGCCGCGGUAAUACCGGUGGCUCGAGUGGUGGCCGCUAUUAUUGGGUCUAAAGGGUCCGUAGCCGGCCUGAUAAGUUACCUGGGAAAUCCGGUGGCCUAACCAUCGGGCGGCCAGGUAAUACUAUCAGGCUCGGGACUAGGAGAGACCAGAGGUACUCAUGAGGUAGGAGUGAAAUCCUGUAAUCUUAUGAGGACCACCAGUGGUGAAGACGUCUGGUUAGAAUAGGUCCGACGGUGAGGGACGAAGGCUGGGGGCGCAAACCGGAUUAGAUACCCGGGUAGUCCCAGCAGUAAACGAUGCCAGCUAUGUGUUGCUGGAACCAUGGGUUCCAGCAGUGCCGAAGGGAAGCCGUGAAGCUGGCCACCUGGGAAGUACGGUCGCAAGGCUGAAACUUAAAGGAAUUGGCGGGGGAGUACCACAACCGGUGGAGCCUGCGGUUUA